GCCCAUUGCACUUGAGGGGAAAAAAAAGAAAUUGUUGCUGAGCUGCUCUUUUAAACACUGAAUGCUUACCCACCGUUCAGUCCUCCUAGCCAAAUUCUGAUGACUCUUUGCAAAUAAAAGAGGCGCGACCAAAAGUACCCAGGCAUGCAGGUGUUUAAGAUUUCACUCUGGCUGUGAGAAUCAGAAGAAAGAGUCUGAAGAGCUGGGUCACAAGGCAAGCUAUAGGAACUCUUUGGUCCAGCAAGACAUUCUGCGCUAAUACGGUAUGUGGAAACUAGAUAAUGAGAAGAGGCUCGCGUGAAUCAGAGGCUAGCUAGUCAUUUGGACGACUCAGAGGGUUAUACAGAGUCUGAAGCGACAUUAUCUGGUUGGGAAGUUCCAGUAAUGAGAACGAUUUAUUACAGAAGCCAGCUGCAAAUUUGUAUAGACCACGCUGGAUGACUAAACUCAUGGCUCCAAGGCCUAACCGAGUUGGAUGGAUGAUGGCGCUGAAGAAAUCAACCAAACGAUUCUGACAAGAAUGAGAAUUUGACUUGAUGUAAAUCUCCUUGGUUUUAAAUAAAAACACAAUAUUUAACCA
rnacentral:lncRNA from 1 species